GACGAACGCUGGCGGCGUGCUUAACACAUGCAAGUCGAACGGAAAGACCCCUUUGGGGGUACUCGGGUGGCGACCGGGGGCGUAACACGUGCGUAACCUGCACCUGACUUCGGGAUUAGUUCAGGAAACUGGGGCUAAUACCGGAUCGGAAUCAUUGAUGCAUGGGGGGGGUUGGAAAGUUUCGGCGGGUUUGGGUGGGCUCGCGGCGUAUCUGCUUGUUGGUGGAGUAGUGGGUUACCAAGGCGUUGGCGCGUAGCCGGCCUGAGAGGGCGACCGGCCACAUUGGGACUGAGAGGCGGCCCAGACACCGACGGGAGGCAGCAGUGGGGAAUAUUGAACAAUGGGCGGAAGCCUGAUGCAGCAACGCCGCGGGCGGGAUGACGGCCUUCUGGUUGAAAACCGCUUGCAUCAGGGGCGAAGCUUGUGGUGACGGUACCUGCAGAAGAAGCACCGGCUAACUACGUG
rnacentral:rRNA from 1 species